rnacentral:tRNA from 1 species
GCAGUGGUGGUUCAGUGGUAGAACUGUCACCUUCCACGGAGACGCAGGUUCAAUUCCUGGCCAGUGUG